UACGUAGGGACCAAGCGUUGUUCGGAUUUACUGGGCGUAAAGCGUGCGCAGGCGGUUCGUCGUGUCCGAUGUGAAAGCCCCGGGCUCAACCUGGGAAUGGCAUUGGAAACUGGCGGACUCGAGUGUGGCAGAGGGGGGGUGGAAUUCCGCGUGUAGCAGUGAAAUGCGUAGAUAUCGAGAGGAACACCGGUGGCAAAAGGCGGGGUCUCUGGGGCAAACAACUGACGCUUGGAGGAGCGAAAAGCGUGGGGGGAGCGAAACA
rnacentral:rRNA from 1 species